rnacentral:rRNA from 1 species
AUUGAACGCUGGCGGCAGGCCUAACACAUGCACGUCGAACGAGUGGCGGACGGGUGAGUAAUGUCUGGGAAACUGCCCGCUGGAGGGGGAUAACUACUGUAAACGAUAGCUCAUACCGCAUACCAUCGGAUGUGCCCAGAUGGGAUUAGCUCGUAGGUGGGGUACAGGCUCACCGAGGCGACGAGCCCUAGCUGGUCUGAGAGGAUGACCAGCCACACUGGAACUGAGACACGGUCCAGAAGCCUACGGGAGGCAGCAGUGGGGAAUAUUGCACAAUGGGCGCAAGCCUGAUGCAGCCAUGCCGCGUGUAUGAAGAAGGCCUUCGGGUUGUAAAGUACUUUCAGCGGGGAGGCGUUACCCGCAGAAGAAGCACCGGCUAACUCCGUGCCAGCAGCCGCGGUAAUUC